AUCGAACGCUGGCGGCAGGCCUAACACAUGCAAGUCGAACGAGUGGCGGACGGGCGAGUAAUGUAUGGGAAACUGCCCGAUGGAGGGGGCUAACUACUGGAAACGGUGGCUAAUACCGCAUACCAUCGGAUGUGCCCAGGUGGGAUUAGCUAGUCGGUGGGGUAACGGAUCACCUAGGAGACGAUCCCUAGCUGGUCUGAGAGGAUGACCGGCCACACUGGAACUGAGACACGGUCCAGACUCCUACGGGAGGCAGCAGUGGGGAAUAUUGCACAAUGGGCGCAAGCCUGAUGCAGCCAUGCCGCGUGUAUGAAGAAGGCCUUCGGGUUGUAAAGUACUGUCAGCGGGGAGGCGUUACUCGCAGAAGAAGCACCGGCUAACUCCGUGCCAGCCGCCGCGGUAAUUC
rnacentral:rRNA from 1 species